UGUGUUUCUGUGAGGCUAAGUGACUGAUGGGAACAACAAUCUUUGAAAUCGGUUUAGUUUUAAGCGAGAAACAAGCUGUAAGCUGUAUUUACGUCCACUAAAAGUUCUGUUGUUGCUGCUGACAGACUCAGAUUAUUAUUCUAAGUGUGUGACAACAUUAUGGGAUGGAUCCCUACAGAGAUAGACCUUUUAGUUAAAGAGUAAGAUCC